ACAGUAUGGAGAUUUCUUUAAAAACUAGGGCUGAAACUAACAUGACCCAGCAUCCCACUGCUGGGCAUAUACCAUGAGAAAACCAUAAUUGAAAAUGACACAUGUACCCCAGUGUUCAUUGCACCACAGUUUGCAGUGGAUAGGACAAGAAAGCAAGCUUUAUGUUCAUUGACAGAUGAAUGGAUAAAGAAGUUGUGGUACAUAUAUACAACUGAGUAUUACCAAUACAAGCAACGUACUCGAGUCAGUUCUGGUGAGGUGGAUGAACCUAGAGCCUGUUACACAGAGUGAAACUGAAUUCCCAGUGGUGGUUCUCUGAGAAGACACACAUCUAUGGAGACCCAUACAAUACACAGAUUUUGGAACAAGUCUGACUUGCCACUUCCCAUCUACAAAGGUAUGGUUACUCGGGACUUCCUGCUAGUAC